CGCUCAAGUCAGUUCUCUGCCUCAACAAGAAUGGAGUGCUCGAAUGGAGAAUUUAGCAGAGUUUUGAGAUAAGAAAUGAGCUUAUCGAAUAACGUAUCUGAGUCUCCCUUUUAUAGACGGAGGAAGCAACGAAUUGAUGGCGACGUUUGUAACCGUCUGGCAGUGGACUGCCCAGGGUCAGGCGGAGUUUGCUGCGAAGCGUAGUGGAACGGACCCAUGGCUAUCGCUGGGGCGUGCCACGUGGAGUCUGCCGCAUGAAGUGGGGCGGCGUUUUGCCGUCGUGACUUGCCAGUGGAUGAGAGAAUCGCGCAGUAUCCGUUGCAGGAGGUGGAGCAGGAUCGUGGCCGUUUAUCGUGGCUGGUCAGGUAGUAAUGGAGCCGUGCGAGAUCCGUCAUGGGGAGUGGAGCAGUGCUGCGAUCGUUACUGCGGGCUGUCAGGGAGUGGUGGAGCUGCGCGGAAUCCGCCGCAGGAAAUGUAGCAGAAUCGUGGCCGCGAUCGUGGCCUGGGAGUGCUGAUACUGAUCUGUCGGCUGAAGUUCGGCAGUGGUCAUAGUCCGGCCACCGUAGAGGUCCGGAUGAAGACUGUCUGCAGCCGUUGGAAUCGAGGACGGAGCCCGGCUCCCGUAGGAGUCCGGGCGAAGUUUUCCUGCAGUCAAGGUUAAAGGCGAAGUCCGGCUCC
rnacentral:lncRNA from 1 species